rnacentral:rRNA from 1 species
CGCGUCUGAUUUGAUGCUUGCAUUGAUGAAAGAUGAGCGGCGGACGGGUGAGUAACGCGUGGGUAACCUGCCCUAUACACAUGGAUAACAUACUGAAAAGUUUACUAAUACAUGAUAAUAUAUAUUUACGGCAUCGUAGAUAUAUCAAAGUGUUAGCGGUAUAGGAUGGACCCGCGUCUGAUUAGCUAGUUGGUGAGAUAACUGCCCACCAAGGCGACGAUCAGUAGCCGACCUGAGAGGGUGAUCGGCCACAUUGGAACUGAGACACGGUCCAAACUCCUACGGGAGGCAGCAGUGGGGAAUAUUGCACAAUGGGCGCAAGCCUGAUGCAGCAACGCCGCGUGAACGAUGAAGGUCUUCGGAUCGUAAAGUUCUGUUGCAGGGGAAGAUAAUGACGGUACCCUGUGAGGAAGCCCCGGCUAACUACGUGCCAGCAGCCGCGGUAAUACGUAGGGGGCUAGCGUUAUCCGGAUUUACUGGGCGUAAAGGGUGCGUAGGUGGUCUUUCAAGUCGGUGGUUAAAGGCUACGGCUCAACCGUAGUUAGCCUCCGAAACUGGAAGACUUGAGUGCAGGAGAGGAAAGUGGAAUUCCCAGUGUAGCGGUGAAAUGCGUAGAUAUUGGGAGGAACACCAGUAGCGAAGGCGGCUUUCUGGACUGCAACUGACACUGAGGCACGAAAGCGUGGGUAGCAAACAGGAUUAGAUACCCUGGUAGUCCACGCUGUAAACGAUGAGUACUAGGUGUCGGGGGUUACCCCCCUCGUGCCGCAGCUAACGCAUUAAGUACUCCGCCUGGGGAGUACGCACGCA